CGAACGCUGGCGGCGUGCUUAACACAUGCAAGUCGAACGGAAAGGCCCUGCUUUUGUGGGGUGCUCGAGUGGCGAACGGGUGAGUAACACGUGAGUAACCUGCCCUUGACUUUGGGAUAACUUCAGGAAACUGGGGCUAAUACCGGAUAGGAGCUCCUGCUGCAUGGUGGGGGUUGGAAAGUUUCGGCGGUUGGGGAUGGACUCGCGGCUUAUCAGCUUGUUGGUGGGGUAGUGGCUUACCAAGGCUUUGACGGGUAGCUGGCCUGAGAGGGUGACCGGCCACAUUGGGACUGAGAUACGGCCCAGACUCCUACGGGAGGCAGCAGUGGGGAAUAUUGCACAAUGGGCGGAAGCCUGAUGCAGCAACGCCGCGUGCGGGAUGACGGCCUUCGGGUUGUAAACCGCUUUCGCCUGUGACGAAGCGUGAGUGACGGUAAUGGGUAAAGAAGCACCGGCUAACUACGUG
rnacentral:rRNA from 1 species